CGGCGCUGCCUCUCGCCGCUUUUUAUCGCCGGGGUGGGGGCGGUGUCAGAGCGCCGGCGCUGCGCAACCGCGACCCGCCCUCCGCCUCUACAGCAAUGCGGUAAAGCGGCUGCUACCGGUUGACUCAUUAUGAAGCCCAAUGGCCAAGCAUCUGCAGAAUUCCUGUUGUUUGUUGAACCUGGUGGUGUGAGUUCUGAGACUCCUGUACCUCCUUCCU